AAUCGGGCCAAGGGUUGUAGUCCAGGGCCUCGCCAGUCGUUCUGGUUCCACAGAGGCAGACUUCCUGCUCCUCUUGCCCAACCAUGGAGCCUCUCGCAGAGGCCCCGUUAUUUAAGUUGGACCAGGAAGAGGAUGUUCUCUCAAUGAAGAGCAAAGGUGGCUGUACAUAUGCAGCAGAUGCUUUUGCGCCCUCUGCAGACACAGACCCUGAGACAUUUAUAUACAUGAACUUCAUGAAGAGUCACUGCUGCUACGAUGCCAUCCCCACCAGCUCCAAACUGGUCAUUUUUGACACAACAUUACAGGUGAAGAAGGCUUUCUUCGCUCUCGUGGCUAACGGUGUGAGGGCAGCACCACUGUGGGACAGCAAGCAGAAGUGUUUUGUGGGUAUGCUGACCAUCACUGACUUCAUCAACAUUCUCCAUCGUUAUUACAAGUCUCCUCUGGUUCAGAUCUAUGAGCUGGAAGAGCAGAAGAUAGAGACAUGGAGAGAGAUCUAUCUGCAGUACUCUGUCAACAGACUGAUCAGCAUCACUCCUGACUGCAGUCUGUUUGAUGCCAUCUACUCCUUGUUGAAGAAUAAGAUUCACCGGCUGCCGAUCAUCGACCCAACAUCAGGAAAUGUCCUCCAUAUCCUCACACACAAACGCAUCCUCAAGUUCCUCCACAUCUUUGGAUCUACGAUUCCUAAACCCAGAUUUCUUCAGAAGCGGAUCAAUGAAGUGGCGAUCGGUACCUUCAGACAGAUUGCGACAGUCCAGGAAACGGCCUCUGUCUAUGACGCUCUGUCCAUUUUUGUAGAGAGAAGAGUGUCUGCGCUGCCUGUAGUCAAUGAGCAAGGUAAAGUCGUGGCGCUGUACUCCAGGUUUGAUGUCAUUAAUCUCGCAGCCCAAAAAAACUACAACAACCUGAACAUGACAAUGCAGGAGGCCAUUUCCUCCAGGGCCUGCUUUAUGGAGGGAGUCCUCAAGUGUUACCCUUACGAAACACUUGAGACCAUCAUCGACCGCAUCGCCAAGGCUGAGGUGCAUCGUUUGGUGUUGGUUGACAGUGAUGACGCGGUGAGAGGGAUUGUCUCUCUAUCUGACCUUCUCCAAGCCCUGGUUCUCACUCCUGCAGGUAUUGAUGCACUGUACUCCUAAUGCCAAUCCUUCAAUUCAUCCCUUCUUUUCCUCAAUCUUCGGUUAUCUGUCUAUCUACCUUCAAAUCCUCAAAGCUUCCUGCUCCUUCUGUUGAUCUGUGCUCCUUUUCCUGUAAAAAAAACUCUUCUUCAUCUUCAACUUUUCGUCCUCCUAAAGACACUAAGGGUCUUUCUUCUCUUCCUGUGAAAUUUCCUGAUGUCAGAGAUCCAACUCUGUCAAUUUCCUCCUUCCCUGAAAUCUCCUGAUCCUUUCAAGCAUACUUACCACUCUCCUUCUGCUCCUUCAAAAUCAACCAACCACCCGAUCUGAAACUCUCAUUGGGGACAAACAUCUUUACAUUUCUUCUUCUAAAACUCUCAUUUGAAGCAUUCAACUAAAUGUUUCCAGAGCGUGCUCUGAUCGAUCCUGCACCUGGAAAAUAAACAAAAGCCCCCUCAAAACCCCCUGCCCAGCCACAAUCAACUUUGCUUUCACGAUCAAAUUCUUAAUCUUCCAAUCCAACUUUAAAACCAGUUCAGUUACCGCCACCAAAAUCCUGCAAUCCUACCUACCAGCCAACCAACCAAGUUUCCUUAUCGUCUACGUUCUACAAAGUCUGACACCCCCCCAACGUCUUCACGCUGCAGUCCCUCCUCUGAAACCACCACGCCAACAGCGCCUCUUAGCCAACACAUCCCAGAUAUUUACAAUAAAUCCAGCUGUCAAGACUGAAGAAAACUCUGAAAGACUCUGAGUUGGCAAAAUAAAUUUGCAGAGCAGGGCUGUGGCUGAGAAGUCACUGGUUUCAGUCCCAGUCUGGAGGACAAAUAUGGAAAGAGAAAAUGAAAAUAACUCUUCUCUAUGAGCACCAAUAAUGUGCCCUGGGAAGUGUGUGCUGGGAAGUUACCAGUGUUGAACUUUAUCACGGGUGUGAAUGGAAAGCAGCGUUGAACUGAUGAUGCACACAUCAAGAGACUUUUAAACUUGACUUAUUAGUCAUCAAAUUUGAGUUUAUUUAGCAAGUUCUGUUAACUUGGAAAUUGAGUUGUUGAUACAACAUGUACAAAUUUUUUUUUUAUCUUUAGUGGUUUUGACUUUCUAGUCUUGGAAUGAUUUCAAAUUAGUCAUUCAUAUAUUGGAAAUAUUGGAUCUUUGGAAUUAGUUUUUGUUUGUUUAGCACAAGGAAAGUAUGCAAAACAAGAAAGGGAAAACGUAUACAAUGGUGAUGGUAGAAAUAUGCUACAACGAACAUCAAACACAAUCAAUAAAAGAAUAGACCAUUAAACUGAUAAUCAAGAGACAUCGUCAUCAGAAGAAGAGCACAAACGAGCAAAGCAAGAAACAUUUCAAGGCAAGGAGCGAGAUAUACAGUAGAUGUAUACGAUCUUUUAGCCUUUCUAUUCAUUUCUACCAUAUAUCUCAGGAUGGGAAUCGCUUUACAGAUUUUUGUUAUUGGAUCUUGGAAUUGUAAUCACAUUUUUGUAAAUGCACUUAUGUUUUAAUCACUGUGAAAAAAAGAAUAAAUGUUUUGCUUUAAAGUGUACUGGUAACUGGUAACAACCAGGUAACAAGGGUUAAAGCUCAAUAAUAAGGUAAUAAGGGGGUUAAUACUAAAUGAACAGUGUAAUACCAUUGCAAUUACAACUAUAAUGUAUAGGCGGACUGGCAAUGCCAUAAGGGCCGAUGCACUCUUGGGCCGAUUUGGGCUGCUGGGAAAAAAAAUAAAAAUUGGCAACACUGGUGUUUCACACUAGUUUGACUAAAAUAUGCAAGACUGUACGGCUGCAGCCUGGAGCCUCCUGUCUGGUGCCGUCGGGCUUCUACUUUAUAAAAUAAAAGCUUGCGUCUACUAUG